rnacentral:rRNA from 1 species
GUGUCAGCAGCCGCGGUAAUACGUAGGGUGCGAGCGUUGUCCGGAAUUAUUGGGCGUAAAGAGCUCGUAGGCGGUUUGUCGCGUCGACUGUGAAAACCUACAGCUUAACUGUGGGCUUGCAGUCGAUACGGGCAGACUUGAGUUCGGUAGGGGAGACUGGAAUUCCUGGUGUAGCGGUGAAAUGCGCAGAUAUCAGGAGGAACACCGGUGGCGAAGGCGGGUCUCUGGGCCGAUACUGACGCUGAGGAGCGAAAGCGUGGGGAGCGAACAGGAUUAGAUACCCUGGUAGUCCACGCCGUAAACGGUGGGAACUAGGUGUGGGGGGCUUCCACGUCCUCCGUGCCGUAGCUAACGCAUUAAGUUCCCCGCCUGGGGAGUACGGCCGCAAGGCUAAAACUCAAAGGAAUUGACGG